GUAACACCCAGUGCACCCACUAACCCUAAUCAGUUUCCCCUUUCCCCUUUCCAAGUGCAUUCAGCAGCCAUUCACCCCCCAUUGCCACCAAGCUCCAGAUUCGAGAAACCACCGAGCCACCCACAGCCAUCCACAGCAGCCGCGACCACCACCGCGUUCUGCUUCUAGCUGAGCUCGCCUCGUCGUCGCCGAGCUCACGGAGCCCCCCUCCUCGUCGCCGAAAGUCGCCGACACCGCGUCUUCACUCGCCGCCGAUUUUGGAUUUGGAUUCGCUUCUGAAGUCAUGACAAAUUUCUCGCCCAAUUCAAUCAAUCAUGUCAUUCACAAAUUCCUCGCCCAAUUCAAUCAAUCAUGGCAUUCACGGACAUGUUCCUGCAUUGAAGUAUUUUUUUUUUGUUAAUCUAUGUAAGGCAGAGGUGUGCGUGCUCUGGGUCACAAAGGGUGUUGAACAGAACUUUGGAAAGGAGAUUAAGGAAAUGAUGAGUGGGCACUCGAAAGAGAAGGUUAUAGUUCAUGACACUGCUGUGCUUGGCAGGCCAAACGUGUCUGAGAUGAGUGUCAAUGCUGCCAACAACUUUGGUGCUCAAGUCGUCAUUGUCACAAGCAAUCCUCAAGGAAGCAGAGAUGUUGUCAAUGCAUGCAAAGCUAAUGGAAUUGCAGCCUUUGGUCCCAUUUGGGAUUCCUAGUUCUUCCAUCUCUAAUAUAUUGCUUCUUAAUUUUGUUUAAUAUAUUGUUGGUAUGUGUUCUUGGUAUGCAUUGAAGUAUUUUUUUUUGUUAAUCUCUUUGUAUGUUGUGUUCUCCUUGGCUACAUAAAAUCAUUUUUGGUAUGGUAGAAAUUUCUAAGGUAA